UACGUAGGGGCCUAGCGUUGUCCGGAAUUAUUGGGCGUAAAGAGCGUGUAGGCGGCUCGGUUAGUCCGCUGUGAAAGUCCAGGGCUCAACCCUGGAAUGCCGGUGGAUACUGUCGAGCUAGAGUCCGGAAGGGGCGAGUGGAAUUCCUGGUGUAGCGGUGAAAUGCGCAGAUAUCAGGAGGAACACCAAUGGCGAAGGCAGCUCGCUGGGACGUGACUGACGCUGAGACGCGAAAGCGUGGGGAGCAAACAGG
rnacentral:rRNA from 1 species